rnacentral:rRNA from 1 species
UACGUAGGGUGCAAGCGUUGUCCGGAAUUAUUGGGCGUAAAGAGCUUGUAGGCGGUUUGUCGCGUCUGCUGUGAAAUUUCGGGGCUCAACCCCGAACUUGCAGUGGGUACGGGCAGACUAGAGUGUGGUAGGGGAGACUGGAAUUCCUGGUGUAGCGGUGAAAUGCGCAGAUAUCAGGAGGAACACCGGUGGCGAAGGCGGGUCUCUGGGCCGAUACUGACGCUGAGGAGCGAGAGCGUGGGGAGCGAACAGG